GCGGGUAUAGCUCAAUGGUAGAGCACAUGCUUAGCAUGCACAAAGUCCUGGGUUCAGUCCCCAGUACCUCCA
rnacentral:tRNA from 1 species